AACGAACGCUGGCGGCGUGCUUAACACAUGCAAGUCGAACGGAAAGGCCUGCUUUCCCUUGUGGAUUGCGGGUACUCGAGUGGCGAACGGGUGAGUAACACGUGAGUGAUCUGCCCCCAACUUGGGUAUAAGCCUGGGAAACUGGGUCUAAUUCCCGAUAGGACUGCAGGGUGGUGCCUGUGGUGGAAAACGAUUUUCUAGUGGUUGGGGAUGAGCUCGCGGCCUAUCAGCUUGUUGGUGGGGUAAUGGCCUACCAAGGCGGCGACGGGUAGCCGGCCUGAGAGGGUGGACGGCCACAUUGGGACUGAGAUACGGCCCAGACUCCUACGGGAGGCAGCAGUGGGGAAUAUUGCACAAUGGGCGGAAGCCUGAUGCAGCGACGCCGCGUGGGGGAUGACGGCCUUCGGGUUGUAAACUCCUUUCGACCGCGAGGAAGCCACCUGGUUGGAAGGGUGGUGACGGUAGUGGUAGAAGAAGCACCGGCUAACUACGUG
rnacentral:rRNA from 1 species